GGCAAACUAUUACAAACAACAAAAAAAACACACAGAGGAAGACGCUGGAAAAAAAUGGAUUAUAAUUUCAACUUUCAACAUCCAACAAUCAAGAAGCUUCACUGUAUCAAAAUACGAAACAACAAACCGAAGGUCCUUUUCCAAGGAUUGCCCAAGGAUGUGCGACCUAUUCGAGAUGCUCUGCAAACCACACCGUUCAAGUACAGGAAUUUGAUCCUGGUCGGUAGGAUGUCUAAUUGCAGCCCACCAUUCGAGACUGAUUCCUUGGGCAAAUCGGACAAUUCUGUUGUACUAUAUGAUGUUAUCACAGUGUUGCUAGAGAAUAUAUCCAACAAUUUGUGUCUUCCGGUGUA